UUAGGGUUUCCCUUCCUUUCUUUACCUCAGCCGCUCGCAUCUUUCCUUUCUUUUCCUAAUCUAUCAUCUCCUCUUUUCCUCCCAGAACUAAAGAAGAAUAAAACUAUGCUCUUUUGUGUUUCCCAACGUUGAGCCACCAUCUCAAAAUCUGUACUCCCACCGUCCUACUCUCUGUGACAGCCACCCCGACGAGAAUUUUACUGCAUAUGUUUAGGGUUUUGAUUUCCCCCCCCCCUUAUUUCUGUCUUCAUUCUAGCGUCGUGCUGCCUGUGCAUGUGGGUUUCUCCUACUUCUAUUACUAGCGGGAACACUUGCCUCCGCUGCUUAUCUUAUCAGGAGAAUGUGUUGUUGAUUUUGCUUAGUGUUAACUAUAAUUUUUCUAUUGGUAGAUGUUAUAAUUUGAUCUAAAUCUGUUUCUCAUUGUUAUUCCUGUUUGUUUUUUUCAUCAUAUCGUUAAUCACUUGAGAUAUGGGUAGGCGUGAUUCUUCAUUUGUUUUCGUCUAAUUCUUAAUGAUGGAAGGAAUCUCUCUAAUUUUUAGUUUUCCAUUUCUUCUUCUUUGGAUACCAUCCCUACCUACAUCGAAGCUUUAAGUAAGAAUUCAAUGUCUAUAAGUGGAAAGCGAAUAAAUAUGCUUGCCUUGUUAAUGUUGACGAUGCUUUGAAUUUGAUUAAUAAGAUGAUUGGCAAAUACCCAAAGCCUUCAAGUUGUGAUAUUUGAUAAAUCACUAGAUCCGUUCUUAAGAUUUAACAUUAUGCUAUUGUUGUUUCUAUACGUUGCCGGAUGGAAUUAUUAGGAGUUCCCCGUGAUGUUUAUUCUUUAAGCAUCUUGUGAAUUGCUUUUGUCAAUUAGAUCAAAUUGAUUUUUGAUUUUCUGUGUUGGUAGAAAAUGCUGCUGUUAGGUGUUGGACCUAUUAUUGUAACUAUUUUUACUUUAAUAAAUGGACUUUGUAAUUGAAGUAAGAUUUCUUAGGAUGUGAGCUUGUUUGAUUAUAUUAUUAUAUAAUGAACCUUUUUUAUAUGAUUAUAGAAUCAAACAAACUCACAGCCUAAUGUUGUCAUCUUUAAUGCAUUUGUUGUUGUACAUUACAUGAGAACCGUUGAGUGGCCUAAGUGCUAAAAGAUCAGGGUUCGAGUAGUUCUCUCUCUGUAGAGUGUGUGUGCGUUGUUAAUGGCUUUUAAAGUUGAGGAUAGUGUUGAAACAAUGAUAAAGGGAGGCAUUGAGCAGGUAAGGACUUCGUCUUUUUCUUGCAAUGAAGAAAUGUUUAUAGUACGAUUUGCAAAAUUUUUGUGUAACACAGUGCAAGACUUAUUCAAUGGUGCCUUUUGCAGGAUGUAUAGGUUCGGUUUUCUGAUUUUGGAUAAGAGGAUGAGUGGGUUAACAUUUGCAAGAAUGUCAGGCAAAGGUACCUUCAGUGUGGGGUAUCUGUGUGCGAUGCAGUUCUUCCAAGGGAUUUUAUACUUUGUUGUCAGGUUGUGUAGUUCUUCUUGGCGAUCUUAUACUUUGUUUUCAGGAAGUUAAAGAUCGAACUCUUUUCUUCAAUGCCAUGUCCUUAAUGCACGAAGGUGGAGACAUGAUGUAAUAGGUUGUUGUUGUUGUAGAUUUUUGGUGCGGUAAGAUCAUGAUGUGUUCGGGAUUUUAGUACUGUAUUAUUGUUGCCAAUACAUGUGUUUUGUUUUCCUAUAUAUAAUUUCAUCGCUUGAGCUUUGCAUUUUCAUGGCUUUUAAGAUCUCAGUAAUAACAUAAACUUUCAACCUAUGUUGCACGGGAAUGGUAACCAAUGCCAUUUCAAGAACCUAAUAUGUCCCUGAGAUGCGUAUGAGACGGACACAACUGGGUAUGUACCAAAGGCGUCCAUGUUAAAGGGGUACAGCUAGAAUUAGUUGGGUAAGUUGGCUAAGUCGAAGAGUAUCGGGAUGUCAUUUGAUCUUUCCAUGUGUACAUUUAGUGUUUUGUUUUUCUAUUGGAUACAUUUAGCGUGUGUGUGGACUCUAAACUUUUACAUGUAACUUCGUUUAAAAAUGUCAGAA